AGAGUUUGAUCCUGGCUCAGAGCGAACGCUGGCGGCAGGCUUAACACAUGCAAGUCGAACGGGCACCUUCGGGUGUCAGUGGCAGACGGGUGAGUAACACGUGGGAACGUACCCUUCGGUUCGGAAUAACUCAGGGAAACUUGAGCUAAUACCGGAUACGCCCUUUUGGGGAAAGGUUUACUGCCGAAGGAUCGGCCCGCGUCUGAUUAGCUUGUUGGUGGGGUAACGGCCUACCAAGGCGACGAUCAGUAGCUGGUCUGAGAGGAUGAUCAGCCACACUGGGACUGAGACACGGCCCAGACUCCUACGGGAGGCAGCAGUGGGGAAUAUUGGACAAUGGGCGCAAGCCUGAUCCAGCCAUGCCGCGUGAGUGAUGAAGGCCUUAGGGUUGUAAAGCUCUUUUGUCCGGGACGAUAAUGACGGUACCGGAAGAAUAAGCCCCGGCUAACUUCGUGCCAGCAGCCGCGGUAAUACGAAGGGGGCUAGCGUUGCUCGGAAUCACUGGGCGUAAAGGGCGCGUAGGCGGCCGAUUAAGUCGGGGGUGAAAGCCUGUGGCUCAACCACAGAAUUGCCUUCGAUACUGGUUGGCUUGAGACCGGAAGAGGACAGCGGAACUGCGAGUGUAGAGGUGAAAUUCGUAGAUAUUCGCAAGAACACCAGUGGCGAACGCGGCUGUCUGGUCCGGUUCUGACGCUGAGGCGCGAAAGCGUGGGGAGCAAACACGAUUAGAUACCCUGGUAGUCC
rnacentral:rRNA from 1 species